rnacentral:rRNA from 1 species
CCCUUAGAUGUUCUGGGCCGCACGCGCGCUACACUGACGAAUGCAACGAGCUUAUAACCUUGGCCGAAAGGUCUGGGUAAUCUCCAAAUUUCGUCGUGAUGGGGAUAGAUUAUUGCAAUUAUUAAUCUUCAACGAGGAAUGCCUAGUAAGCGCAAGUCAUCAGCUUGCGUUGAUUACGUCCCUGCCCUUUGUACACACCGCCCGUCGCUCCUACCGAUUGAAUGGUCCGGUGAAGCGUUCGGACCGUGGCCUUUGGACGGUUCGCCGUCUGUUGGCUGCGGGAAGUUCGUUAAACCUUAUCAUUUAGAGGAAGGUGAAGUCGCAACA